UGAUAAGAUUAUUAUUAGAAGGGGGCAGG
rnacentral:piRNA from 1 species